CAUGCAGUCGAGCGGAGAUGAGGUGCUUGCACCUUAUCUUAGCGGCGGACGGGUGAGUAAUGCUUAGGAAUCUGCCUAUUAGUGGGGGACAACAUUCCGAAAGGAAUGCUAAUACCGCAUACGUCCUACGGGAGAAAGCAGGGGAUCUUCGGACCUUGCGCUAAUAGAUGAGCCUAAGUCGGAUUAGCUAGUUGGUGGGGUAAAGGCCUACCAAGGCGACGAUCUGUAGCGGGUCUGAGAGGAUGAUCCGCCACACUGGGACUGAGACACGGCCCAGACUCCUACGGGAGGCAGCAGUGGGGAAUAUUGGACAAUGGGGGGAACCCUGAUCCAGCCAUGCCGCGUGUGUGAAGAAGGCCUUAUGGUUGUAAAGCACUUUAAGCGAGGAGGAGGCUACUGAGACUAAUACUCUUGGAUAGUGGACGUUACUCGCAGAAUAAGCACCGGCUAACUCUGUGCCAGCAGCCGCGGUAAUACAGAGGGUGCGAGCGUUAAUCGGAUUUACUGGGCGUAAAGCGUGCGUAGGCGGCUUUUUAAGUCGGAUGUGAAAUCCCCGAGCUUAACUUGGGAAUUGCAUUCGAUACUGGGAAGCUAGAGUAUGGGAGAGGAUGGUAGAAUUCCAGGUGUAGCGGUGAAAUGCGUAGAGAUCUGGAGGAAUACCGAUGGCGAAGGCAGCCAUCUGGCCUAAUACUGACGCUGAGGUACGAAAGCAUGGGGAGCAAACAGGAUUAGAUACCCUGGUAGUCCAUGCCGUAAACGAUGUCUACUAGCCGUUGGGGCCUUUGAGGCUUUAGUGGCGCAGCUAACGCGAUAAGUAGACCGCCUGGGGAGUACGGUCGCAAGACUAAAACUCAAAUGAAUUGACGGGGGCCCGCACAAGCGGUGGAGCAUGUGGUUUAAUUCGAUGCAACGCGAAGAACCUUACCUGG
rnacentral:rRNA from 1 species